AAAGGGAGACCUAAUUCAGGUAUGGGACGAAAAAAAAGUAGUCCCUACCAAGAAUCAAUCCCAAAAGGUCGGAACGAGGUGUGUGGCUUUCAAACUAGGUUCUGGGUUCACACAAGACCUGAAUCAGGAACAAGGGCUAUUAGCUCAGGUGGUUAGAGCGCACCCCUGAUAAGGGUGAGGUCCCUGGUUCGAGUCCAGGAUGGCCCACCUGUACAGGUGGCAAAAACAAAGAAGCGAGGAAUCAGCACCUUAUCUUAUCUAUAUAUAUAGGAGAGAAUGCUGGCUCUGAGUAAAGAGUCCAGAGGAACCUUGAAAACUGCAUAGAGCUAGGUGAAAAAGCCAAAAAAGAAGACCGCAAG
rnacentral:tRNA from 1 species